UACGUAGGGUGCGAGCGUUUGUCCGGAAUUAUUGGGCGUAAAGAGCUCGUAGGCGGUGUGUCACGUCGGCCGUGAAAACCUGACAGCUUAACUGUGGGCGUGCGGUCGAUACGGGCAUCACUGGAGUUCGGCAGGGGAGACUGGAAUUCCUGGUGUAGCGGUGAAAUGCGCAGAUAUCAGGAGGAACACCGGUGGCGAAGGCGGCAUCCUGGACCGGCAUUGACGCUGAGGAGCGAAAGCCAGGGGAGCAAACGGG
rnacentral:rRNA from 1 species